UUUCAGGAAACUUGGAGAUUCAUUGAGAGAAGACCCAAACCUUCGUUGCAACAGAACAGAACUUUGUCUUGAUAAAGUUCGAUCUGGAAACUAUGUUUACAUUCACGGAAAACCGGUCAUCCAGAACAUUAUCGCCAUGGAUCGAGAGCAGACAGGAUUGUGCCACUUUACUAUGGCUUCAGAAACCUUUUGGCCGGGCCAUCUUCAUUUCUUCUUGCCAAAAAAUAGCUCUUAUACAGAAACUAUUAAUCGAGGCAUAUUAAGGAUGCAGGAAACUGGUCUAUUGG